rnacentral:rRNA from 1 species
CCCAGACUCCUACGGGAGGCAGCAGUGAGGAAUAUUGGUCAAUGGGAGAGAUCCUGAACCAGCCAAGCCGCGUGAGGGAAGACGGCCCUAUGGGUUGUAAACCUCUUUUGUCGGAGAACAAAACCCGGGACGUGUCCCGGACUGCGUGUAUCCGAAGAAAAAGCAUCGGCUAACUCCGUGCCAGCAGCCGCGGUAAUACGGAGGAUGCGAGCGUUAUCCGGAUUUAUUGGGUUUAAAGGGUGCGCAGGCGGAGGUGCAAGUCAGCGGUCAAAUUGCGGGGCUCAACCCCGUACUGCCGUUGAAACUGCAUCCCUUGAGUGCGCGAGAAGUAUGCGGAAUGCGUGGUGUAGCGGUGAAAUGCAUAGAUAUCACGCAGAACUCCGAUUGCGAAGGCAGCAUACCGGCGCGCAACUGACGCUCAUGCACGAAAGCGUGGGUAUCGAACAGGAUUAGAUACCCGAGUA